UACGUAGGGUGCGAGCGUUGUCCGGAAUUAUUGGGCGUAAAGAGCUCGUAGGCGGUCUGUCGCGUCGGGAGUGAAAACUCAGGGCUCAACCCUGAGCGUGCUUCCGAUACGGGCAGACUAGAGGUAUGCAGGGGAGAACGGAAUUCCUGGUGUAGCGGUGGAAUGCGCAGAUAUCAGGAGGAACACCGGUGGCGAAGGCGGUUCUCUGGGCAUGACCUGACGCUGAGGAGCGAAAGCAUGGGGAGCGAACAGG
rnacentral:rRNA from 1 species